AUGUUGAAUUAGGGUGUGUCCUUGGGCAAG
rnacentral:piRNA from 1 species